rnacentral:sRNA from 1 species
GUUGGGUUUGGGGGCACAGAUCUGUAAUCCCAGCUUCUUGGGAGGCUGAGACAGGAGGAUCACAAGUUUGAGAUCAACCUGGGCAAUUUUGCAAGACCCUGUCUCAA